CUGGCUCGAGGACGAACGCUGGCGGCGUGCCUAAUACAUGCAAGUCGAACGGUCUUUUCUAUGGAAGCUUGCUUCCACUGAGAAGAUAGUGGCGAACGGGUGAGUAACACGUGGGUAACCUGCCCAUAAGAGGGGGGAUAACAUCCGGAAACGGGUGCUAAUACCGCAUAGUUUUCUUGAUCGCAUGAUCGGGAAAGGAAAGACGGCCUUUGUGCUGUCGCUUAUGGAUGGACCCGCGGCGUAUUAGUUAGUUGGUGAGGUAACGGCUCACCAAGACGAUGAUACGUAGCCGACCUGAGAGGGUGAUCGGCCACAUUGGGACUGAGACACGGCCCAAACUCCUACGGGAGGCAGCAGUAGGGAAUCUUCCGCAAUGGACGAAAGUCUGACGGAGCAACGCCGCGUGAGUGAAAGAAGGUUUUCGGAUCGUAAAACUCUGUUGUCAGAGAAGAACAAGUUGGAGAGUAACUGCUCCAGCCUUGACGGUAUCUGACCAGAAAGCCACGGCUAACUACGUGCCAGCCGCCGC
rnacentral:rRNA from 1 species